AACGAACGCUGGCGGCAUGCCUAACACAUGCAAGUCGAACGAGACCUUCGGGUCUAGUGGCGCACGGGUGCGUAACGCGUGGGAACCUGCCCUUAGGUUCGGAAUAACUCCCCGAAAGGGGUGCUAAUACCGGAUAAUGUCUUCGGACCAAAGAUUUAUCGCCUUUGGAUGGGCCCGCGUUGGAUUAGCUAGUUGGUAGGGUAAAAGCCUACCAAGGCGACGAUCCAUAGCUGGUCUGAGAGGAUGAUCAGCCACACUGGGACUGAGACACGGCCCAGACUCCUACGGGAGGCAGCAGUGGGGAAUAUUGGACAAUGGGCGAAAGCCUGAUCCAGCAAGGCCGCGUGAGUGAUGAAGGCCUUAGGGUUGUAAAGCUCUUUUACCCGGGAUGAUAAUGACAGUACCGGGAGAAAAGCUCCGGCUAACUCCGUG
rnacentral:rRNA from 1 species